GCCGAUUGGGUCCAAGGUGACCUCAACUGGAUGCAACUGACAUAACUGAGUGAGGAGUUGUAGAGCAGCCGACUCCCAUGUAUCUUCCAAGGCGUGUCCGUAUGUCGAGACUCCGAGCUGGGGCCACUCGGGCCGCACAGGGGGUGGAGGUACCACCGCCUGCACGUUGCACCUCUGUACGCCGUGCUCCAGGUAUAUCCGUCCAACAUACAAGGGCGGGGACUGAU
rnacentral:lncRNA from 1 species